CUACGUGCCAGCAGCCGCGGUAAUACGGAAGGUCCAGGCGUUAUCCGGAUUUAUUGGGUUUAAAGGGAGCGUAGGCUGGAGAUUAAGUGUGUUGUGAAAUGUAGACGCUCAACGUCUGAAUUGCAGCGCAUACUGGUUUUCUUGAGUACGCACAACGUUGGCGGAAUUCGUCGUGUAGCGGUGAAAUGCUUAGAUAUGACGAAGAACUCCGAUUGCGAAGGCAGCUGACGGGAGCGCAACUGACGCUGAAGCUCGAAGGUGCGGGUAUCGAACAGGAUUAGAUACCCUGGUAGUCCGCACAGUAAACGAUGGAUGCCCGCUGUUGGUACCUGGUAUCAGCGGCUAAGCGAAAGCAUUAAGCAUCCCACCUGGGGAGUACGCCGGCAACGGUGAAACUCAAAGGAAUUGACGGGGGCCCGCACAAGCGGAGGAACAUGUGGUUUAAUUCGAUGAUACGCGAGGAACCUUACCCGGGCUUGAACUAACGGUGACGAAUCUAGAGAUAG
rnacentral:rRNA from 1 species